rnacentral:rRNA from 1 species
CCUACGGGCGACAGCAGUGGGGAAUUUUGCGCAAUGCUCGUAAGAGUGACGCAGCGACGCCGCGUGAAUGACGAAGGCCUUCGGGUCGUAAAGUUCUUUCGACAGGGAAGAAAAUGCCUAUAAGUAACUGUGUAUGUAUUGACGGUACCUGUAUAAGCAGCCCCGGCUAACUCCGUGCCAGCAGCCGCGGUAAUACGGAGGGGGCGAGCGUUGUUCGGAGGGACUGGGCGUAAAGAGCACGUAGGCGGUGUUGUAAGUCAUUAGUCAAAGACUAGAGCUCAACUUUAGUAAGGCUAGUGAUACUAUAAUACUAGAGUGUCAGAGAGGAUUGCAGAAUUCCUGGUGUAGCGGGGAAAUGCGUAGAUAUCAGGAGGAAUACCGUUAGCGAAGGCGGCAAUCUGGCUGGAAACUGACGCUGAGGUGCGAAAGCGUGGGUAGCAAACAGGAUUAGAUACCCCUGUAGUC